rnacentral:rRNA from 1 species
UGGGGAAUCUUGGACAAUGGGGGCAACCCUGAUCCAGCGACGCCGCGUGGGUGACGAAGGCCUUCGGGUUGUAAAGCCCUUUUCUCGGGGAAGAUGAUGACGGUACCCGAGGAAUAAGCACCGGCUAACUCCGUGCCAGCAGCCGCGGUAAGACGGAGGGUGCUAGCGUUGUUCGGAAUUACUGGGCGUAAAGGGCGCGUAGGCGGCCUGAGAAGUCGGAUGUGAAAGCCCGGGGCUCAACCCCGGAACGGCAUUCGAAACUUUUGGGCUCGAGAACGGAAGAGGAGAGUGGAAUACCCAGUGUAGAGGUGAAAUUCGUAGAUAUUGGGUGGAACACCGGUGGCGAAAGCGGCUCUCUGGUCCGGAUCUGACGCUGAGGCGCGAAAGCGUGGGGAGCAAACAG